rnacentral:tRNA from 1 species
UUCCUAGUGGUCCAGUGGUUAGGACUCCAUGCUUUCACUGUUGAGGGUCUGGGCUCAAUUCCUGGUCAGGGAA